rnacentral:lncRNA from 1 species
CUUCAAGCAGCGGCCGCAAGCAGCUUGGCCACGGGGUCCAGAGGGACCGCAGAAGGCUGUCCAGCCGUACUUCUGGCGCCAGGCCAAGGGCUUGUUGGCAUCCCAAGUGGAGCAAUAAGCACUAACGGCGUUCAAGUUCCAUCCGUUCUGUUGAGGGUUGUACAAAUGGUACGUAGACCUCACAUUCGAAGCACUCUGGCCACUGGCGAUCGCAGCGAACACACUGAGUAGCAGAGCAAAUAACAGAGCUGCACUCAAUCUCUCCAUACUUGUAAGUUCUGAUGUGAUUUGGAGAAGGUUUGGUGUUAUGAAUUUAUAGUGGGAAGAAGAACGUACGUGUCCAGCCAUCAAAGUUGGAAAAAAGAUGGUCUAGCUAAGACUUAAGAGGCUUAUGGCUACCAUCAUCUUUGUCACUAAAAAUGUCAGUUGGGUUAUGUACAAUCUUGAAUCUAGAAACCUUAUCGUGUACGUGGAUGGAAAUCCAGUUUUCCCACAAGAAGAACCGUCGAAUUCAGCAGGAAAAACCAGUAGCAGCCUUGCAAGAUAGUCAAUUUACAUGACGUUACUCUGUUUUUUAAGGAUGAGAUGACACGUACACUUUUGCCAAAACAAGAGACGAGACAACGUACAUAUAUAUAUAUAUCAGAUUUGUCGACAAAUUUCAAUAGUGUAGAAGAGCUGAUGUUUGCAACGUUGAUAAAUCACGUGUACUGUUUGCUCUACUGGUUCGAGUUUUUGUAUAUAUGUUUUAGUUGUCUGUAAUUUCGUAUAUUUUCCUUGAGAUCGAUACUAAUGAAUUCGGGUUGACUCUCUCCUACUGAGAUUCUGUAGACGUAGAGUUCUCUGGAACUAUGUGACCAAACCUUUGUGCCUCUUGCUAUUACUUUUUGGGCUUUGAUUCAUUGUCCUGAUUGAUGCUCGCCGACAGUUUAGUUUAGGACUCAUGAUUUAGGUUAUUAAAUUUUUAAAAACUUUGAUCAUUUCAUGAACUAUUACAUCUCAAUAAUUCGAAUGAUUGAGGAGAGAGUUCAGAUUCGCUUAACAUGCAAACACAAAAGUUGCAUGCAUUAAGAAGCCAGGUAUGAACCGGUAUUGCAGGAAAUUUUGGAGGCAUUCAAAAUCAGAAGAGAAAAAAUGGAUGGAAAUCAUUAUAAGGCAAAGAAAUUUCGAUUGGACUUGACUUGAAAGAUAAGGAAUGAAGACUUGGGAAGUCACUUGGUUGAUGAAUUCAAAGUUGGUGGCCUACAUGCCCAAGUCAUAAGCUCUCAUAGAUGGUAAAUAAUUAAUGCUAAGUAGAUAAUUAUGUUGUAAUUUAAUGAGUUUUUGGUUAAAAGGAUUGUUCAUUAGAUAUGGUAAAGGAUAGAAAAUGAAUAAUUGUAGAUUUCUUUAAGGAGAUUGAGGAGGAGAGACUCGAACCCUCCCCUCCUCCUCAACCUCUAUUUCAACCUCUUUUAACCUUUCAACCUUACCAUCUCUACUAAACUAGUUUUGUAACAUUAUUAUGCAUGUACUUCGAUUUAAAAAUUAAGUGACACCCAACCACUGUACUACAAAUAAUACCAAGCCAGAGAAAAGUAAGAAACUGCUCCAAAGAUUGAUAAGAUUACCCAUUCAAUUCAUAUGAAUUAACAAUUAACAAACCCUUCCUUCCAACUGGAAAGACAAUCGUACCCUUCCCUUAUUAACAUCCAUAUUCCGUUCCCACGUACGGCACCACCGUAAACUAUAAAACGGCGGCCGGCCAGGCUGGAAUGACUUAUUUCUUCGUAUAGUUAUCAUAUAGUUAAUGACUUAAUUUAUACUGUUUUUUUUAACUUUAGUCUCCACAGUUAACGAAUUGAUAGUCAACCAUGAUGUGGCCUUGAGCAUUUCCUCUUCCGUCGGUAUCGAUCCUCUUAAAAACACCAACGUCCAGAUCCAGACCUCCGUUGCUACACUGGUCAACAAUUCUCACCGUCUCUUGUGCUCCGGUUCCUUUGUUCGUCACCUAUAUAUAGUAACGUAGAAACCGAACAUUAACUUCGAAAUUCAGUGUUCUAUUAACCUGUAAUAUGUUACUUAAUAGUAUAACUAAUGCAUUAGGACCGGUCCAGUUCGAACUAAAAACUAUUGCACCGUUUCUUAGGCCAAUCCGGUCUGUUAAAAGAAAUUCUUAAACAAUAUGCCGAUGUGGUGGAUGUUUUGGGAGGGAAUUAGUGGUUUAGUGAGUUUACGUAAUUUGGACAAUUGUUGUUUGAUUUUUAAAAAUGGUGGAGAUUUAAUAUCAUCAUAUCUAUGAGAUUAUGAUAAUUUUAAGUCUAAUUUAAAAUCACCACGAAUUUGGUGAGAAUUAAAAAAUUUUAAAGUAAUUUACGUACAGAUUGAUUUAAUUAAAAUUUAGAAAUUAUGGAAAUUGUCACUUGAAGUAUAAAAUAUUAGAAUCAAAUAUAAUAUUAGAAUUAAAGGGAAAUCAAUUUUUUUCUAAAUGGGCUGAUUAAACUAUUCUUCAUUUUAAUAUUAGAAUCACUCUUAAUUUUUUUUUUACAAAAAUAUUUAUAAAAUCACUAAUUAUUUCAAAUAAACUCUACGUAAAUAUCAAAAUCAAAAAACCUUUUGGGCCAUUUUUUGUGAUUUAUGAACCUAAUACUAAUUAAGAGUUUUAUAUUAUCCCAACCAAAAAAACAAUGUUAUAUUGUUGUGCUUAUUUUAUAUUGACUUGUACCAAUAUGAUACUAAUGUUUAAUUUUCCUAUAUCAACAAUGUAACCAGUCCUUCGAACAAAUUCUUAAAAAUUCGAACCAGAAGACGGAGAAUCAAGCAACAUACCCUUAAACAACGGCCGCAAGAGGCUUGACCCCUAGGUCCAGCCGGACCGCAGAAGGCAGUCCAGCCGUACUUCUGGCGCCAAGCCAAUGGCUUGCUGGCAUCCCAAGUCGAACAGUAAGCGCUAGCAGUCAUCAAGUUCCAUCCAAUCUUUUCAGGCUCGUACAUAUGGUACGUAGCCCUCACGUUAGUAGCACUCUCUCCACCACCACCACCACCUGUGCCCCCACCACCGCUAGCCGGCCUACAGUUGCUCUGGCAAGCCUUGGAAGGGGGCGAGUGUCGUUGGUGCUACCCCCAGUAACCAUAUUGGCUGCAGCAGAGGUUGUUGGCACAGGUUUGGCCGCCGGCUUGCCGGCCGCAGUUUUGAGCAGUGGCUAUUGCGGCCAAGAAACAGAGCACUAAGGUGGUGAAUAACAUGGAUGCCCUCAUUUUUUCGCUUCUUCUUGUUCUAGCUUUUGUUGAUUGAUUGAUUCUGUGGAGUUUUGUUAUUUUUGGUGUUGAAUUUAUAGGAGAAGUAGUACAAAUUUG